rnacentral:lncRNA from 1 species
CACCAAAGGAAAGAAGACAAAGAGGUUAAAGUUUUGGGAUUCAUUUCUGGAUCUGCAUGGUUUACCGAUUUACAUGCCAUGGAGCAUCUGCUCAUCAAAUUACAGGUUGUAUCAGUCCUCUGAGCAUCACUGAACAUUUCAAGACGAGUUGUUUAUGAAGCAUGAUCCCAGCAGAUCCUCCACAAGAACAAAAAGGUAUUAUUCAUAUUUAACAACAUGAAGACAGAGUUAAUGUUUAGUUUAGAUGCCUGAAUAGGCUACAGACUUACUGCCAGCUGCUUUCUUUAAAAACAUUUUACUGUGUUUU